CAAUUUAAAUCUUAAUUAGUAAAGUAUUUCAUUUACAUUGAAAAGAAAGUUGUGCAAAUCAAUUUAAAUUGA
rnacentral:tRNA from 1 species